rnacentral:rRNA from 1 species
GCUUGUCUCAAAGAUUAAGCCAUGCAUGUCUAAGUACAAGCCUCAGUAAGGUGAAACCGCGAAUGGCUCAUUAAAUCACACCUAAUCUACUGGAAAGUUACUAGUUACUUGGAUAACUGAGGUAAUUCUUGAGCUAAUACAUGCGUCAAAACCUGACUUCUUGGAAGGGUUGUGUUUAUUAGAUAAAAAACCAAUCCAUGCUCUGCAUGGUAUUGUGGUGACUCAUAAUAACCGAUCGAAUCGCAUGGCGUAAGCCGGCGAUAAAUCAUUCAAGUUUCUGACCUAUCAGCUUCCGACGGUAGGGUAUUGGCCUACCGUGGCUAUGACGGGUAACGGGGAAUUAGGGUUCGAUUCCGGAGAGGGAGCCUGAGAAACGGCUACCACAUCUAAGGAAGGCAGCAGG